GACGAACGCUGGCGGCGUGCCUAAUACAUGCAAGUCGAGCGCAGGAAACUGACGGAACUCUUCGGAGGGAAGGCAGCGGAAUGAGCGGCGGACGGGUGAGUAACACGUAAGGAACCUGCCUCAAGGAUUGGGAUAACUCCGAGAAAUCGGAGCUAAUACCGGAUAGUUCAUCGGACCGCAUGGUCCGCUGAUGAAAGGCGCUCCGGCGUCACCUUGAGAUGGCCUUGCGGUGCAUUAGCUAGUUGGUGGGGUAACGGCCCACCAAGGCGACGAUGCAUCGCCGACCUGGGAGGGUGAUCGGCCACACUGGGACUGAGACACGACCCAGACUCCUACGGGAGGCAGCAGUAGGGAAUCUUCCACAAUGGACGAAAGUCUGAUGGAGCAACGCCGCGUGAGUGAUGAAGGUUUUCGGAUCGUAAAACUCUGUUGUAAGGGAAGAACACGUACGAGAGGGAAUGCUCGUACCUCGACGGUACCUUACGAGAAAGCCACGGCUAACUACGUGCCAGCAGCCGCAGUAA
rnacentral:rRNA from 1 species